AUCCAUUGAAUUGAGUGCCGCUCGGGUCCUUUUCAUUUUUAUUUUACUCUUUACUUUUAUUUAUUUUUCUCUUUUUUAUUUACCUGACUCUGGGCUACAGGUACCGGCCGAGUCGAGACCCCGGCGGCAGUUUUAUUUCCGUUUCAUUUGCUUCCUUUUGGGUUGGUCUACCCGAGCACCACUUUUGGCUCGCACGAACAUGGAACUGGAGAAAAUGGUGCAAUACGACAGGCGGUCAUUGAUAUUUAUUUGAUCCGGAUCGGUUUAGCCGCACUUGAAAUUCUAUCAGGUUUCGAACAGGAGUCUUUGAUGCUUGUGGAAGUGCGCGACCUUUUCCACGUGCACUGCUGAACUGCAGUAAGGGUCAUGGAGAAUCGAGCGUGGUAGGAGUGGAGUGAAAGGGAAAAAAAAAAAAUAAGAAAAAAUUUGGGAAAUUUACAACAGGUAUAACGUAUAAUGGCGAAUUUGCAAAUUAGUCCUGUCGCUCGACCAAGAUUGGUACGUUGAUGCUGGAACUACGAGCCAUUUGAGAUGCGGCGGGUCAAUCGCUUAGGGAUCAAUUGAUCGUCAUGGCUGUGCGCGACCUCGACAAGACUGCGCACAAUGGAAAAACGCGCAAGAAGGCGAGCGGCUUGACGCUUAAUGGAAAUUCUCCUUGAUCUUUGCGAUCAAGCGCUGGGGCCUUCGGUGAAAAUUAAUUGAGACUCCCCAGUUGUUGGCGCUCAUCGAUCCGCCAGGAACUUAGGUCAGCAUCGAAUGGGAGCGAUUACUCGGACAAUCGAAGCUUUCGUCGUUCAAUGGAAACGCGAUAAACGAUAAAGCCCCGAACGGGCUUUAUCGAGCCGAUUUAUCCCACUUCGAUAGAAAGGCCUUUGCAACUGUUGCAAAAACGAAUUGUAAAAGGCAUUAGCGUACCCGAUGCACAUAGUCAUCACGUACCCUAUAUCUUACGUCAGUAUAAAAUUCCUUUAUACUUGAUUCUCGCGAGAAAUAAAGUACAGCUAUGUUAAAAGAGCCUUAAACUGUACAAGCGAUCAGUCGCCACCUAACGAACACUUAAACCUAUAACGUAUUUAAUCACUGACUCGAUGUACGUACCACGUCUAUGCGAGGUAUAAAUAACAGACAGAAAAAAUAACCAUGGCGUCUGCGCAAGGUGCAUAUGCAAUUUAUAUAUCGUUCGUUUUCCACUUGGCUGCACGAUCGUUCAUAAGCGACUGAAUAGCAAUAAGAAACGGAAAAACAAAAUCACAAGGCGUCUCAUUGCGGAAGGCUUUACCUGGUUUAAAUUAGUCGCCGUAGUGUGGCGCCAGGCCUUAAACACGUUUCUGUCGCGAUACGUUAACCCCCAUGCAUAAUGUAUUUCCGAGGUUUUCGAUGAAAGCAAUGCCUUUAUAGGCGAUAUGCAAGUCAUUCGAGCUGUUAACUGACUGAGGAAGUAAUUAGCACGAUAAACCAGUCCUCCUCGCGUUUCGCCGUUACGUUUUGUCAUCCUAAUUGUAUAGUAAACGUUAACGUUUAGUUUACCGAAUUCCCGCUAGAUGGCAGCGCCAGCCGAACCGACGAUUCUCCGACUUCGGCCUAUGAAAAGGUCGGGCGCACAGUGUGCACCCGGCACGUUCUUUCGAACGAAUUCAUAACCUCAAAGUCAUUAAAAACGUGAAUGAUUUAUAAAAGGUGCUUUUUCUAGUGAUAACGAAAAGAAAAAUAAGAGAUAAUAACUUCGUAGCGCUGGCACUCGCAAUUAAAAUAAAAUUCUUUCACACUUCGAGCAGUGCCGGACGGUAGAGCCAACCAAAGAGAAACUAAUUACCACGAUAACGCCUUGAUAUUUUUCUUCUCUCUGUUGAAGAUCGAGGACACUAUUUUGCCUAAUAAUAAAAGUAAACAUCGAAGAUCGAUUGUUAUUAUUGAUCACCUGAAACUUAUUAAUAUCUUACGCCUACGGCAAAAUUUAAUCCUUUUAUUUCCAUAGCUGUCAUUCUAACCUCGCAGAAAAUGGCUGAUUAGCUACCUAAUUUCAUUAAUUAAGUUUCAUUGACAUCAGACCUCUCUACUGCGUUACGUAAUUUCAGACUUCGGAUCAAUACAACUACCAACCUGUGUACAACGUUGUAAUUUUCAAUUGUAAAAUCGCUCGACUCGUGUCCCCGAAUGUUCCUAAUCAAGCAGCUACGUAUUUUAGUAGUGUAAAUAAAUUUAGCACGAUAUUCCAACCGCGGAAGGGGAAGUCCUCGUAACACGCACGGAUGCACUUCCGUAUUACAUUCUCUGUGCACAUAUUAAACUCGAGAUUCACGAAUUAAUAUGCAAGAUGCUCGACAGUGUAAACCGAGGUGACGUAUAUAUAGAUAUAGGUACUUGGUCGCGAUUAAUCGAUCGCGAGCGGAUAUCUUCGUCAAGUCGAGAUUUCCGCUUCCUGUGUAAAUGCUGCCUCGAACCAUCCCAAGGAAAUGUUCUAGAAGCAAAGAGGGGGGAGAUUUGCUGAUUUAUAUGCGACAUAUGUAUACGUACAAUGACGUAGCCGUGUAUAUAUAUGUAUAUGCAUACGUAAAAAAGAAACGUACAUAACUCAAGCGCAGGAACCCUAGGCCCAGUUUUAUAACAACAAAUAAAAACGAAAGACCGGAAGUAACGCAGAAAUAAUCUUGAUCGCGUACCCGGGUGCAUUGACAAUAAAAAAAAAUAAUAAAUAAAAAGACAAAAAGCAGGAAGUACCUUGUAUAUGGUUUUCCGGCGAAAUUGGCACUCUCGCUUGGAACACUUAAUAAGUUAGCAGCCAGCGUAAGAUAAAGGCCAAAUGAACGAGCAGUACGUGUUUCAAGUAGUCAAUGAUUCAAGUAGUACUUGCUGGUAUAUAGUGUAUAGAUGGGGGAACCCCCUUUCCCCCUGUAUACGAUUUUACCGAACGAACGAUUCAAAUUGAAUACUGAAAAGAUCCUUCGGCCAAGGGCGAU